AUGGCCAUCUGGCUGAGGCCCGCGCACGUCUCUCCUCCUCCUUGGCCACCCCUACCGGGGCUGUUCCGAGCGUCGGCCCUCUCGCAGCGGUCGCCCCGGGUGAGAUCCAGGGCCGCACCCGCGCGCGUACUGCAGCCCUCCGCGCCCAGAGCGCCUCACGUGUCUUGGGGUCAAGCAGCCCCCCGAGGAUGCGUGAUGCGGACCAUCUUCUGGAACAUCCGCGGUUUCGGCCAAGCUGGUCAGCGCCGCCAACUCAUCGACUACAUGCGAACCGAGCGAAUCGACAUCGUGGCAAUCCAAGAAACGAUGCGGACUGAAUUCUCCUUGUCGGAACUUGAGCAUCUAAGCUCCAACUUGUUUGCUUGGCAUUGGCUCCCUUCUAGUGGGAGUACGGGCCACUCAGGUGGCAUCCUCCUAGGCGUGAAGGAUGCCACCUUCGAGGUAGGAAGCAUGGACCGAGGAGAGUUCUUCCUUAGCAUGGAGGUGUUUGAGCGGGCUCUCAAUUUCAAAUGGGAAAUCAUCACGGUUUAUGGCCCUGCCGAUCACCGUCGAUCUGAGGCCUUCCUCGUGGAGCUCCGUAGGAAGGUAGCCUCCGCCCAGCUACCAGUGGUAGUGGGCGGUGAUUUCAACCUCAUCAGGACGGAAGAAGACAAGAGCAAUAAUUUAGUGAAUUUCCCUCGCAUGCAAAUGUUCAAUGACUACAUUGCUGACAUGGGGUUGCGCGAGCUCGAUCGAGUCAGGGCGAGAUUCACUUGGACUAACCGCCGGGUUGAUCCGACUCGCUCGGUCCUCGAUCGGGUCUUCGUCUCCCCUGAGUGGGACAUUCGUUGCCCCCUAGCGUCGCUUCAGGCGAUUACGCGGAUUGGCUCAGACCACGUCCCCCUUCUUCUCUCUUUGGAGAAUGUGUUGGGGAACGUAGUAAUUUCAAAAAAAUUCCUACGCACACGCAAGAUCAUGGUGAUGCAUAGCAACGAGAGGGGGAGAGUGUGA
rnacentral:rRNA from 1 species